CAAGCAGAAGACGGCAUACGAGAUGUGACUGGAGUUCAGACGUGUGCUCUUCCGAUCUCUCCACCCAGACUCAUCCAUCUUCCGAAAGAUAGAGAGUUUCUGUUGGUGCUGACACUGCCCAAAAAAAAAACAUAGCACUCUGCAAACUCGAAAGAGGAAGUAUAGGGUGUGACGCCUCCCCGGUGCUGGAAGGUUAAUUGAUGGGGUUAUCUUCGGAGAAGCUCUUGAUCGAAGCCCCAGUAAACGGCGGCCGUAACAAUAACGGUCCUAAGGUAGCGAAAUUCCUUGUCGGGUAAGUUCCGACCUGCACGAAUGGCGUAACGAUGGCCACACUGUCUCCAGCCGAGACUCAGUGAAAUUGAAAUUGCGGUGAAGAUGCCGUAUACCCGUGGCUAGACGGAGAGACCCCGUGAACCUUUACUAUAGCUUGACACUGGACUUUGAAUCGAUUUGUGUAGGAUAGGUGGGAGACUAAGAAGCAGGAACGCCAGUUCUUGUGGAGUCAACCUUGGAAUACCACCCUGAUUUAUUUGAAGUUCUAACCUAGGUCCAUGAUCUGGAUUGGGGACAGUGUCUGGUGGGUAGUUUGACUGGGGCGGUCUCCUCCUAAAGAGUAACGGAGGAGCACGAAGGUACCCUCAGGCUGGUCGGAAAUCAGCCAAUGAGUGCAAUGGCAUAAGGGUGCUUGACUGCGAGACAGACACGUCGAGCAGGUACGAAAGUAGGUCAUAGUGAUCCGGUGGUUCUGUAUGGAAGGGCCAUCGCUCAACGGAUAAAAGGUACUCCGGGGAUAACAGGCUGAUACCGCCCAAGAGUUCAUAUCGACGGCGGUGUUUGGCACCUCGAUGUCGGCUCAUCACAUCCUGGGGCUGAAGCAGGUCCCAAGGGUAUGGCUGUUCGCCAUUUAAAGUGGUACGCGAGCUGGGUUCAGAACGUCGUGAGACAGUUCGGUCCCUAUCUGCCAUGGGCGUCUGAGAAUUGAGGGAAGCUGCUCCUAGUACGAGAGGACCGGAGUGGACGCACCGCUGGUGUUCGGGUUGUCAUGCCAAUGGCAUUGCCCGGUAGCUAUGUGCGGACAGGAUAACCGCUGAAAGCAUCUAAGCGGGAAGCCCCUCCCAAGAUGAGUUCUCACUGGGACUGUAAGUCCCCUGAAGGGCCGUUGGAGACUACGACGUUGAUAGGCACGGUGUGGAAGCGCAGUAAUGCGUGUAGCUAACGUGUACUAAUUGCCCGUGAGGCUUGACCAA
rnacentral:rRNA from 1 species